rnacentral:rRNA from 1 species
UGAUUUUAUGCUUGCAUAAAUGAUUUUUGGAUUCGGAGCGAGUGGCGAACUGGUGAGUAACACGUGGGUAACCUGCCCCGAAGCGGGGGAUAACAUUUGGAAACAAGUGCUAAUACCGCAUAAUUAGUUGGAACCGCAUGGUUCCAACUUGAAAGAUGGCUCUGCUAUCACUUUGGGAUGGACCCGCGCCGUAUUAGUUAGUUGGUGAGAUAAAAGCCCACCAAGACGAUGAUACGUAGCCGACCUGAGAGGGUAAUCGGCCACAUUGGGACUGAGACACGGCCCAGACUCCUACGGGAGGCAGCAGUAGGGAAUCUUCCACAAUGGACGAAAGUCUGAUGGAGCAACGCCGCGUGAGUGAUGAAGGUUUUCGGAUCGUAAAACUCUGUUGUUAAAGAAGAACAAGUGUUAGAGUAACUGUUAACACUUUGACGGUAUUUAACCAGAAAGCCACGGCUAACUACGUGCCAGCAGCCGCGGUAAUACGUAGGUGGCAAGCGUUGUCCGGAUUUAUUGGGCGUAAAGCGAGCGCAGGCGGUUUUGUAAGUCUGCUGUGAAAGCCCUCAGCUCAACUGAGGAAGUGCAGUGGAAACUACAAAACUUGAGUACAGAAGAGGAAAGUGGAACUCCAUGUGUAGCGGUGAAAUGCGUAGAUAUAUGGAAGAACACCAGUGGCGAAGGCGGCUUUCUGGUCUGUUACUGACGCUGAGGCUCGAAAGCAUGGGUAGCGAACAGGAUUAGAUACCCUGGUAGUCCAUGCCGUAAACGAUGAAUACUAGGUGUUUGGAGGGUUUCCGCCCUUCAGUGCCGCAGCUAACGCAUUAAGUAUUCCGCCUGGGGGAGUACGACCGCAAGGUUGAAACUCAAAGGAAUUGACGGGGGCCCGCACAAGUGGUGGAAGCAUGUGGUUUAAUUCGAUGCUACGCGAAGAACCUUACCAGCUCUUGACAUCUUCUGCCAACCCAAGAAGAUUGGGCGUUCCCUUCGGGGACAGAAUGACAGGUGGUGCAUGGUUGUCGUCAGCUCGUGUCGUGAGAUGUUGGGUUAAGUCCCGCAACGAGCGCAACCCUUAUUAUUAGUUGCCAGCAUUUAGUUGGGCACUCUAGUGAGACUGCCGGUGAUAAACCGGAGGAAGGUGGGGACGACGUCAAAUCAUCAUGCCCCUUAUGAGCUGGGCUACACACGUGCUACAAUGGAUGGUACAACGAGUCGCGAAACCGCGAGGUCAAGCUAAUCUCUUAAAGCCAUUCUCAGUUCGGAUUGCAGGCUGCAACUCGCCUGCAUGAAGUUGGAAUCACUAGUAAUCGUGGAUCAGCAUGCCACGGUGAAUACGUUCCCGGGCCUUGUACACACCGCCCGUCACACCAUGAGAGUUUGUAACACCCAAAGA